UACGAGGGGGGCGAGCGUUGUUCGGAAUUAUUGGGCGUAAAGGGCGCGUAGGCGGUCGGAUAAGUCUUGUGUGAAAUCUUCGGGCUCAACUCGAAGUCUGCACAGGAAACUAUCUGGCUUGAGUGUGGGAGAGGUGAGUGGAAUUCCUGGUGUAGCGGUGAAAUGCGCAGAUAUCAGGAGGAACACCGGUGGCGAAGGCGGUGGUCUGGGCCGGUACUGACGCUGAGGAGCGAAAGCGUGGGGAGCGAACAGG
rnacentral:rRNA from 1 species